UGGGGAAUAUUGGACAAUGGGCGCAAGCCUGAUCCAGCCAUGCCGCGUGAGUGAUGAAGGCCCUAGGGUUGUAAAGCUCUUUCAGCGAGGAGGAUAAUGACGUUACUCGCAGAAGAAGCCCCGGCUAACCUCGUGCCAGCAGCCGCGGUAAUACGAAGGGGGCUAGCGUUGUUCGGAAUCACUGGGCGUAAAGCGCACGUAGGCGGACUUUUAAGUCAGGGGUGAAAUCCCGGGGCUCAACCUCGGAACUGCCUUUGAUACUGGAAGUCUGGAGUCCGAGAGAGGUGAGUGGAACUCCGAGUGUAGAGGUGAAAUUCGUAGAUAUUCGGAAGAACACCAGUGGCGAAGGCGGCUCACUGGCUCGGUACUGACGCUGAGGUGCGAAAGCGUGGGGAGCAAACAGAUUAGAUACCCUGGUAGUCCACGCCGUAAACGAUGGAAGCUAGCCGUCAGGGUGCAUGCAUCUUGGUGGCGCAGUUAACGCAUUAAGCUUCCCGCCUGGGGGAGUACGGUCGCAAGAUUAAAACUC
rnacentral:rRNA from 1 species